rnacentral:rRNA from 1 species
UACGUAGGGUGCAAGCGUUGUCCGGAAUUAUUGGGCGUAAAGAGCUCGUAGGCGGCCUGUCGCGUCGGCUGUGAAAACCCGGGGCUCAACCCCGGGCCUGCAGUCGAUACGGGCAGGCUAGAGUCCGGUAGGGGAGACUGGAAUUCCUGGUGUAGCGGUGAAAUGCGCAGAUAUCAGGAGGAACACCGGUGGAGAAGGCGGGUCUCUGGGCCGGAACUGACGCUAAGGAGCGAAAGCGUGGGGAGCGAACAGG